CAGCUUACUCAGCCACAAUGAAAUCAGAAAGAAAUCUGAAGGAGCCUCCUCCACCCCUUUCUCCUUUAAAUUGGCCAGCAGCUAACUCUUCAAUAUUUAUGACCGCUCUCUGAAAAUGCAUGAUUGUUCUGCUGGAAAAUAAGAUUGCCUUGAGCAGAGUUGCAGGAAAUGUGAUUUGAAAAUCCAAGUCAAUGAUGUCCACAACUCGAAUAGGUAUAUGAUGACUGAUGCAGAGAGAAGAGUCAGCGCUGAUCAAUGGGCUGCUUCAUUCAGGAAAGCGCUUUCAAGUUAUCAUAACAUUCAAGAUGGUUUGCCUUUGCACCUACAUCUACAAACAUUGGAAACCAGAGAACAAGGACUGUGUGCAUGAUACAACUGAUGGAAGCCCCAUUGAUCAACUAUGGGAUUCUACCUUCAGAACAUAAGAAGGUCUAAGGCUUUUGCCCAGGCUGGACCUCAGCAAAACUCAUGUAACUUCCGCCUUCUGAGUUCUGGCCAACACUAAGGAGCUAUGUGUCCCCUACCUGUGUCUCUUUGGAUUUGUUUCCAUCAUCCUCAUCACCCUCCUUCCCUGUCAUGAAGUCGGAAGGCAAUAUUCCCUAUUGCGGUCCGCCCAAAUCCACUUUGCUUUGCUUUACUUUGUCAGGAUAGGCGGUUCCCAAUUAUACCCUUCCCCCGUGAGGGCUACAAGACGCUGGAAGGCUUGCCCUCUCAGUGUUACCUGAAGUUUUAGGAUAAAGGUCUGAGCUCUGGGAUUCCCAACAACGUCGACUCAGCCACACACUUUCAAUAUACCAGUGAGAGAUAUGAGUGAAAAGUAGGAAAGGAAAUUGGCCAUGUUAAAGGAGAGACCACCAAAGGGGCCUACUGACCCCCAGUCUAUCUGGGGCUCUAAGAUGAGGCUUAGGUUUGAAAGAGGAUCAUGAAGUUAAACAGAACCAGCCACGGGAGACUGCUCAUUGUUGAAUCAUCUUUCGUCUAGUCUUUCUUGCUAAGUGGUCAGAUAUGCUGUGAAAUUCCUUGGGGGGGGGGGACAAAUGCAAUUUUUUGACAAGCACAAAGGCUCCCUCCUUUCCUGUCUCCCAACAUGGUGUUCCUAGGAAAGUGUCAAUU
rnacentral:lncRNA from 1 species